GUCUUCUCCCCAUCUUUGCCUUGCUCUGAGCUUCCAUUUUUACCGGUUCACCAUGACAAAUCGAUUACACGAAGAGGAGGAUGAAGACCCGGUGAGAUAGUCCUUUAAUCUCCCACCACCUCCGCACACUCUUAUCUCUGGUCUUAACCCUCCUCCUGCAGACCCCUCCGACUCCAUUUCUUCCCUGAUAACUCCCCGCCGUCGUGUAUCAACCUAUUUUCCCACUUCCUAUCUUCCCCCGGAAUGCAGUCCGUGUUGAUAGCAGCAGAGGAAUCGCAUGUUCUCCUCGGAAUAUUAAACAAUAGCUUCCAAACCCUAGACUCGGUUCCCUGUUUCAGUUUAUGGAAGUGAAUUAUGCAAUACUUGUUUGGAGUAAUAUUGAGCUUAUAGUUUCUGUGUGUAUGCCUUCUGUAACUGAUGUUCCAUAAGUUCCGCGGGCAAAGCAUAUCAUGGGAUGCUAUAGGCAGUGAAUGCUGUGACUUUGAAGUGAAAUAUAAUCGAGAUAUAACUAUAAUUAGAGCUUUAUGCUUGGAGGGUAAUUUGGGGGUAGCUCUAUCUCUUUGGUAUACGAUGAUACAGAAAAGUGUUAUUCCUGAUAUUAUCACCCACAAUUAUCUAAUAAACAGCUUCUGCAAAACUGGUAACUUGGAUAAGGCAGAGUGGCUUAUCAAAGAGGUUAUUUAGGGGUCCUCCUCCCAAUUGUGCAACUUACAACACUUUAAUAAAGGGUUAUUGUAUUCAGAAUGGUAUUGAAAGGGCUUUAAAUCUGUUUUCAACAAUGGCCAACAGUGGUAUUAUCCCAAACAGAGUUACUUGUACAUUACUGUACAUGCUCUUUGUAAGAAAGGUCUGCUGGAGGAUUCAAGAAAGCUUCUUAUGGAAAUAUUAGGUGACACUCACCGUAAGGACACAUCGAAUUUGAUAACAUCGACUAUAUUAAUGGGUGGGUCCUUUAACAAUGGACAUAUAAAUCAGGCUCUCACUUAUUUGGAUGGCAUUUUUUGCAGGAGUCUCCCAGUUGAUGCUGUUGCCUACAAUGUUGUCAUUCAUGGAUUCUGUUUGAUCAGAGAUAUAUCCAUUGCUUAUAAAUAUGUCUGCAAAAUGUUUACGUGUGGUUUUCUUCCUGAUAUAUUUUCUUCCAAUACUCUUAUUGGUGCUUUCUGUAAGGAAGGAUGGACCACUGAGGCUUGUUAUAUCUACAAUAUUAUGUCCAAAAUGGGUGUUUGUCCUGAUCAAAUCUCUUACAAGAUGAUUAUACAAGGGCUAUGUUUUCAUGACGAUGCAACAAAAGCUAAUCUGUUUCUUCAUGCUAUGUUAGAUAACUCAUUUUGCCUGAACCUCUCAUUUGGAAUGUCAUAAUUGAUGGUUAUGGGAGGUGUGGUAAUAUGCAAAAGGCAUUAUACAUCAGGAAUCAAAUGAUUGCCUUUGGAUUAAUGCCAAACACAUUUACUUAUAAUGCCUUGAUCCAUGCACAGAUAAAAAGUGGAAAUAUCAUUGAGGCACUUUCUUUGAAGAAGGAGAUGCUUCUAGAUGGUUAUUUUCCAGGCUUAAUUACGUACAUUCUCUUGUUGGGUGCCUCUUGCAUUCUUGGUAACAUUCAUUCAGUGCUGCAGCUAUAUGAUGAAAUAAUAAGAGGAGGUUAUUACCCAGACACAAUAACAUACACUGAGCCAAUUAAGUUUUGCUGUACACAAGGUUAUACAGAGAAGGCAGAAGAACUCUUGGAAAAGUUACAGGCUUUGGAUUUACAGGUUUUGGAUUUACAGGUUGACCAUGUUCCAUAUCUGAUACUCAUGAAAAAGUAUUGCAAGAUGAUGGAGCUAGACAAAGCAUUUGAACUUUAUCAGAAGUGGUUAUUCAGAAAGAGUUGAGAAUACCUUUAGUAUUGAUCAAUUGGUACUCUGGGCUGCAAAAAUUUUUCUGAUCAAUACAGCUCCCUGCUGGCAGUACACUUCAUGCAUUACAUUAAUUCAUUAUCUGUUCAAAGGAAGGAUGGUUGACAUCUUCUGCAAGUUGAUGAUCUCCACUUGAAGGCAGCCUGACUUUCACCUUUAGACUAUAGUCCCUGGGAGAAGCUGACCAGGAAACACAUGCCACGUUUGAUUAAAGGAGACUAUUGAUGGCCUUAGGUGUUGUUCUGUCAACCAUCUUUUUAGAAUUUUAUGGAACGUACAGAGAUUUCAUUAUACAGAUUCAAACUUUGCCAGUUGUCCUCGAGCUCAAGGAGGAGGAAAUCUCUUUUUGAGCAUCUUUGUAAUGUUGAUUGCACAGAUAUUGUUCAGGUUUGGCCUAGUUCUUCCAAUAUGUCUGUGGCGUGCCUCAUGAAACUCAGUUUUACCUGUCAAGAGCAGUGGACAAUGGGUAUCACUGAUUGCUUGGCUGGUGGGGAUGAGUUGGUUUUAUGAAUUGCAUCUUAUUGUAUUCUACAUGUUAGAGAUCAAUCACCGCAAUUGCUUUUCACUGGGUCUGUACAUCCAUCAUAUUCGUGCUGCUUCUGCUACUGAAGCUGAUGAGCAUUCUUAACGUUUUUGGUGGUGAUUCGUGGUUAGGAUUUUACUGUGGCGGCAUGUACAGAGGAACUGACCAUUCCUUUUCUCAUAAAAAUUUAGUGCUCAUUCAACUGCAGGUAGCUGAAGACCGCGGCAAAAUCAGAAAAUAUGCCUAAGAAAUUCCCUGCUUGCAAGAUAAGGAUACCAAGGUUCACAUUUGAUUCUUUGCCGUUGGUCAUCGUCCUUUACAUCAUCCCAAAUUUCAUCUAAUGAACCAUUCGCAGAAAGCUUGAUAGCGAACCUCCUCAACAAAAUGUAUUAGAUGGAGAUGUAAGGGCGGUAUAAGAUAAAUUUGAGAAUCUGUCAUGAAGCUGUUGAUAGAUAUUCGAUUGCCGAAGUUCUCCGUUAUUGUAGGUCAAUUUUGUUGGUCGUGACUUACUGCCUUUUUAUGUUAAAUUUGGAGCGGGCACCUUGGGAUAUUGAGGAUUAUUGGUCUUGCCAACCAUUUGGCUGGAAGUUAAGUGGGAGAAAAUACUUUUGCUUAGAUAUGCAUGGACAAUUUCAUUCAUUGUGAACCCUCUAUGCUUUCAUUGAUUUUCAUUUUUCUAUUUUGGACAAUUUACCCCAUAAAAUUAGGAAAAGAUUUCAUACUA